UCUCUCUUUCUUAUUAUUAAUGGUUCUCUCUCUAACUAAUAGAAAGUUGUUCUCUCUCUUUCUUAUUAUUACUCCAAAACGUUAUUAAACACGAAGCUAAACCGCAAAGUGAGAUUGGUCAAAAAAAAAAAAAUUUCUUUUUUCUACAUGGAUGAUAAACACAAGUUGUUCAAAAAAAAAUGGUGCUCGGAUUUACAUCGUCGCAGUUAUGGAAUCAGCGUCAAGCUAAGUGUUUCUCUUCCUUUUAUCGUGGCAGAUUUGAUUUGAUUUAAUUUAAUUUAUGUGGAAAGGAAAUCUGUUGAUUUGAUUUGUACUAAUGAUGAAAGGAAAUCUGCGAUGUUAAUGGGUGAAAGAUGGGACGAAGGGAAUCAGUUGAUUUGUACUAACGCCAAAAGAAAUAUGUUGGUUUGAUUUGUCGAGCUAAAGUUAGAUUAUGUUCUGAUUCUUCCUGGUAUUCCUUAGGAUCGUAAGAUUUCAUCCCUUCUCUCCUUUCCCAAACCUGAUUGGGAGGAUUAGGGUUUUCAACGGAAGCAGUGGUCGAGGUGAAGACCCACUUUCUAUAUACUAUCAAAUUAUUCUAAUUCUACAAAUUUUGGAAGUGGAAGCGAAUCUUCUCCAAUUUUAAACUCUGGAAUUGUUUAUGAAUUCAGAAGCGCCUAGUUUACUUCAUUCACUCGUGCAAGUAAUCCAGGUAUACACUCUUUUUAGCAAUCAUCCUUUAUUCCUUCCACCGAGGUUACAAAUUCAGCUUUCUUCCCAAGUUUUUAACUACUCUCUCUUGCGCAAUAUACAAUUCAGUAGCAUGAAUUACACUUGGCAAAUUUCAAGUUUUGAACUUGAUUGGGAAUGCAUAUAUUUACAUACCCACUAUCUUCACAACAUUCAUACAGAAAGAUUUCGCCAAAGAACUCAUUUCACAAACUACACAGCUCACUUGUGUGUCUCAACCCAGGAAAAGCAAAAAGUUUACAUUGUCUGCAAAGAAAUCUUGCUAAGUCAGUUAAUCAAUUCAAUAGCCUCUUCUUCAACUGGUCUCAAUACCAAUACUAGUAACUCUCUGAGAAGCAAAAAUUUGUCAAGAAGAAACAACAAGCAUGUCAACCUGCAAGGAAAAGGGAGAAUUAUUGAUUCUUAUGCUCUAAUCGGAUAUGUUUGUAGAGAAAGUGAAGUCACUAGAAUAUGUUGUCAGUUUUGCAAUCAGGCAAAGAUUGGGUGCUCAAAACGAAGUGGUGAUUAUUACAACUGGAAGGAGGAAUGUUUUCAUCUUCAGAAUACACUCAAGAGGGAUCUUUCAAAGAGUCUUAAGGGAAAGACCACAUUCAGUAGGAGGACACUUGCUAGUUCUACUACCUUGGCAGUUUCAUAUGAAUAUGCAUAGAGCUAUUUUUCAAUUUGAAGUCUUUUUAUUGAGUUUAGGCUCAGAGCUGACCUGGAUAGAGACAACAUUCCUUUUCAGAUUGCAUAUCAAGCUGGAGAACCAACUACUAUUUUUAAUAGAGAUCCAACUGGUGUUAUCAAAGCAAAAGUUAGACUGGGUGUUAAUCUGCCUAUUGUUAAAAAAGUGCAUAUAACUCUAGAGGAUGGAGAAAGAAUUAAAGUAGCUAUCUUUUACCUGGGAUUUCCAUCAGCAACAUGUAGAAGUUGUUAUGUUUUCAAUCACAAUGAAAACUACUGUGGGAUGAUUACUAAUGUAGCUUGGAUGGCUGUGCCAGUUCUAAACUUGCAAGGUGUUAACCCUUUUGAAGAACAAGUGGAAGAAUUAGUGCAAGUUAUUCAGCAAAACAUGGAUAUACAAAAUGGUGAUGGAGCUCAAGCUAAUCAAGAACCAGUUAUUGAGGCUGAGAAUAAUUAUGAGGAAGUAAAUGAAGCUGGAGAAGACAACAUAGCUCUUAAUGUGGCUGAGAAUGAUACUGAGGUUUCAAAGAACCAAAAUGACGAAGGGAAUGAAGAGGUUAAUAAAGAAAUUAUUGUUGAUAUAGGGGUUGAUAACUCAGCAAAUGGAACUUAUGUGUCAGAAAUCAACAGAUUUGACUUAAGAACCAAUAAGAGAAGGAGGACUGAAGAUGUUAUCUUGGAAGCUAUGGAAAUGAAGGGUUACAUCCAAGAAAUUGAUAGAGCUCUUCAUGUUCUUGCUGAUGAAGUUGUGAAUGAUGGAGUUUCUAGAAGAAUGGAGUUGGGUGAAUCUUCAUCUAGAGAAGAAAUUUUGAAUGACAUUGAAGGUGUGGACAAUGUAUAUGGUCUUGGUGGGUCUGAUACUCUUCUGUUGCAGAUGCUGGAAAUCAAAAGCUCUCAAUAAACCAGGUUCCCUUUUAUCACUAUUUUAAAAAAAAAAUCUGCUCUUGAUUUCUGCUUUAGCCAUUUAAGUUUCCACAUCUUCUCCUUUUUUAAUCUUUGCAACCAAAAUUUAGCCCUAUUCUUGUUUAGUUUUUAUAUCUGUUCGAAGUAUUAUCUUUUAGUUUUUAUUAAAAUAAAAUUUUUCCUAAAUUUUGAGAUGAAGUUAAUAUCUUGGAAUUUGCAGGGAAUAGGAAAACCCCUUACUAGAAACCACUUAAAAUUUAUCCUAAGGAAACAUAACCCUGAUUUCUUAUUCCUUGCUGAAACUAAAGCCACAGAAGACAAUAUGAACAUCUUAGCUAGAAAUCUUAAGUUUCAUAGCUGGUUAGCUGUCCCUAGAAUAUGCUUUUCUGGUGGGAUGCUCAUAGCUUGGCACAAUAACAUAUCUGUAAGAUGCAUUGCUGAUUUUUUUGACAUAUGUUUUUUUGAACUGCAUGAUUGCCAUAAUAACUGUUGGAAUGUGAUUUGUAUGCAUGGGUCCUUAAAUGAUUUAGGAAAGAAAAUGCAAUGAGACAAAAUUAACUAUUUUUUUAGUUUAAAUCCUAAUACUCCCUGGAUCAUUAUAGGUGACUUAAACUUUGUGUUGCGUUAAUGAUAAGCAAGGUGGGAAAGACAUCACUCAUAUUAAUAAAUCCAUUCAUGACAACAUCCAUAGUCUUGGACUAAUGGAUCUUAGAUUUCAAGGAAUCCCUUUCACAUGGUCCAAUAACAGAGAAGGUCACGAAAACAUUAAAGAAAGAAUAGAUAGAGUGCUCACUUCCCCUGUUUGGUUUACCAUGUAUCCUGAUGCUUUAGUUAGUCACUUGUCUAGAGUAGGUUCUGAUCACACUCCGAUUUUGCUAAAUUGUAAGCCUGUUAAGAUUAAUAUUCGCAAACCUUAUAGAGUUAUUAGAACUUGGUUUAGUCAUGAUAAUUUUAAAAAACAUGUUGCUGAUAAUUGGGACUGUAAUAUCAGAGGCUCCUUUGCUUUUAGUUUGCAAAGAAAUCUUAAAAAUCUUUCUUACACUCUCUCUGAAUGGAACAGAUCUUUUUUUGGUAACAUUUUUCAAAAUAUCGAAAAUCUUAAUUAAAAAAUAGAACAUCUCCACUCUAUGGAUCCUUUACCUAUGUUAGAAAUAAAAGAUACUCAGAACAGCUUAGAAGUCUGGUACAACAUAGAAUAUGAUUACUCGAAUCACCUCUCGAAAGAUAAAUUUAUUAAAGACUUUGAUCGUAAUACAUCUUUCUUCCAUCAAUACGCUAACAACAGAAGAAGAAUUAAUCAUAUUCACACUCUUAGAGAUGAUACUGGUCUCUGGAUUGAUGACAACACUCAAUUAUAUAAUAUGCUUAUCAAACAUUUUAAAACAAUUAGCAUAACUAACAAUACGCAACACCUUAACUUACUAAACAGUCUUAUUAAACCUUGUAUUAGUGAAGCUGAUAACAAUAGUCUUAUUAAGAUUCUUGAUGAGCUUGAAAUAAAAAAUACUCUUUUCAACAUGAACCAAUGGGGUGCUCCUGGCCCUGAUGGUUAUCCUGCCGGUUUCUUUAAAGAAAACUGGGAUUUAGUGAAAUCGGAUAUCACUAACUUUGUUCAAGAUUUUUUCAGGAAGAAGUUUUUACUUAAAGAAAUGAAUUAUUCUUACAUAACUCUUAUUCCCAAAGUUCAAAACCCCUCCACCCCUAGUGACUUUAGACCUAUCAGUCUUAGUAAUACUACCUAUAAAUUGAUAGCUAAAAUCUUAACAAACAGAAUAAAACCUAUGCUUACUAAGAUUAUUUCUCAAAACCAGUCUGCUUUCAUUCCUGGUCGUCAAAUUACUGAUAAUAUCGUAGUUGUGCAUGAAAUCUUACACACUAUGAAGAAUUCAAAAAACAAAAUGGCCACAUGGCUCUAAAAAUUGAUCUUUCUAAAGCAUUUGACAGAAUCGAAUGGGAUUUUCUGAAUCAAACUCUCCUCUCUUUUGGUUUCUGUGAAGAUGGUUGCCAUCUUAUUAUGCAAUGUGUUUCUACAACUUCCUUUUCUGUUCUUUUGAAUGGUGUUCCUGGUGAAAGGUUUAUUGUUUCUAGAGGAAUCAGGCAAGGGGAUCCUUUGUCCCCUUACCUGUUUAUUAUUUGCAUGGAAGUGCUUUCGAAAAUGCUCUUUAAAGCUGAGGAAGAUAAACUUAUAACUGGUGUUAAAGUAGCUAAAACUACCCUUACUGUUUCACACCUUUUUUUUGCUGAUGACUUCUUUUUAUUUGCUAAAUCUAGCCUUAUUGAAGAUAAAAAUUUAGUUAAUAUUCUUAACACUUUUGGUAAAAUGACUGGUCAAGUAGUAAAUUUUAACAAAUCGGGUGUUUACUUCACACCUAAGAUGCAUAACAAACAUUGUAAAAUUAUCUCUAAAAUCUUAAAAAUUAGAAAAAUCUCUAAGAAUGAUAAGUAUUUAGGAACUCCGCUUUUCUUUGAUAAAAAUAAAGUGAAUAAUUUUGAACCUCUGCUUAACAAAUAUUACACUGUUCUUCAAGGCUGGAUUGGAAAAAUGUUUAACCAAGAUGGUCGCACUGUUUUAAUAAAACAUGUUCUUAGUGCUUACCCUAAUCAUCAAAUGCAGUGCCUCGCUUUUCCUAAAAGAACUUUAGAUAAUCUUGAUAAGAUUUAGAGAGAUAUAUGGUGGCAGAAAAAGAAUAAAAAAUGUUAUUAUCCUAAAGCCUAGCCUAGUAUUACUAAAGAUAUUCGGCAAGGUGGACUAGGGAUUAGAAACCCGCAUAAACAUAAUCUAGCUUUAAUCACUAAACUGGCUUGGCGGCUACUUCACAAUCAGGAACAAUUAUGGGCAAAAAUUCUUAAGCAUAAAUAUUUCAGAAGACACCACCCUUUAAAGAAAACUAGAAAGCAUAAGAACUCGUGGAUCUGGAAUAGUAUCAGAAAAGGACUUGAUGUUAUUAAUUCGCAUUAUAUCUAGCAAGUUAAUAAUGGUGAGACAAUUAACAUUUGGACUGAUUUCUGGCUCCCCAACCAAACACAACUUUUAACUCCUAUGAUUUAUGACUGUAAUAUGCCUAAUUAUGUCUGUGAUCUUAUGAAUGCAAAUGGAGAUUGGGAUAUGUGCAUUAUUAGUUACUACAUUGAUAUUGCUUAUCAUAAUGCUAUUAAAGUUGUUGCUACUACCACAUAUGAGCAUGAUAGAAUCAGAUGGAAAUCUACGACUUCUGGGAAUCUCACGACUAAGUCAGUUUAUAAUUACCUGACUAAUCUUCAGUUUGACAAAGAUGAAACUAAUUUCUGGAAACAGAUUUGGAAACUUAAUAUUACCCCUAAAGUGAAUAUGUUAUGUUGGAAAGUUGUGAAUAAUGCUCUUGAUCUUGAGAAAAACAUGUCUAAAUAUGUUAAGGAUACUGAACCAUACUGCCUGAUGUGUGAUAAUCAGAAUGUUGAGGAUGAAAUGCAUUUAUUUGUGAAUUGUAGCUUUUCUAGGAAGGUUUGGAAAGCUUUUAAUCUGAAUAACAUCCACCUUAACAGUGGAAAUACUAAUAUCUUGCAAUGGUUUAAAACCUGGAUGAAUGUUAAAUCUCUUAAUGAAAAGCACAAUUUGAUUUCUUUUAUCUUGUGGUUCAUCUGAAAAUAUAGGAACAAUAUGCAUUUUGAUAAUGUAGUGCCUGAUGUGCAAAAACUGAUUGAUAAUAUUAGAGCAUCACACCUGAAGUUAAGUCUAGAUAGGGACAAUAAAGAUGGUCAUGUUUCUACCGAUGCUAAUAAGUCUCAUUACAACAGUCACAACUCUGACAGUGACAAUUAUGAUUGGUUUAUACACUUUGACGCCUCUUUUAUUGAAGAUGAUUACAGUAUGGGAUAUGCAAUCUCCACUCUUGAUAAAACAGGGACCAGAAAACAUUGUCGAGCAUGAUGCAGCUGGGAUUCCAUCCCCUUAGAAGCUGAAGCAAAAGCCGGAAUUGAGGCGAUAAGGUGGAUGAAGGAACUAAAACUACAAAAUUGCUGCAUAAUCAGUGAUUGUCAAAUCUUGAUGAAAAUUUUGAAAGGGUCGUAAGUAUGAAGAAAAGAUGGUCGAAUUAACGGGGUUCUUGGUGGAAGAAAGAGAUCUAUUAAUAUAUUAAUCAAAGACGAGAAGUAAAUGAAUUUGAGAUUUCCAAUCAAACAGAGAGAAGAAAUCAAGGGUUUGUGGUCGCUAUGGGUGGAUGAAUUGAACAGAAAACAAAAUUCCUACCAUGAAACAGGUUGAGGAAGAAAUUGGGGGUUUUGAAAUUAGGGUUCUACUAUUUGUGGUGAACACCAUGGGUGGUGACGUUGAGUUUGCGACGGAGAAGCAGUUUGGUGGAAUUGAAGCUGAGAUGGAGAUAGAGUAUGAUUGGAGGAGUCUUCUGAUGGUUCAAGAUCUGGUGGUUUGAAAUCAAAGCUAGAGAAGCCGAAGAACAGGUGGUAUGAAUUAUUAGAGUGAAAGAGAGAAAGACGGUGACGAUGAUGGGCUUGGAGAAGAUUGAUUAUGUAAAUGUUAAGAAAACCAAGGUUAUUAUAGUAAGUGCAUAAUAUAAUUUCAUUUUAUUUUGUAGUUUAAUUAAUAAAUUGGUUUAUUAGUAAUUUUUAAACAGAAGUCAAUAUUUAACCUAGUCAACGUAGGUCAACGUCCAGUCCAGGUAUCAAGCACCAAUGUUGGACAAAUGUUAGACUAAAGCCUAGUCUUGGGCAAAACCUGAGUAUCAAAGGCCAAUUAUCCCAUGUAUAAAUCUAGAACCUAUGUUAAUUUCGAAGACAAAUUAGCUAAAGAAGUAAGAUGUAGGAAAAUC